AAUACAAUACAAUACAAUACGACCUAAUACGGCAUUCCAAACGAGCCCUUGGUGUGUAAUUUAGUACUUCAGUCGCUUUUGUUUAAUCUCAUUCAAAAAAAAAAAAAAAAAAGAAAAGAAAAGAAAAAGAAAAACAAUGAUCUUUUCCAAAGUUAAGGAUUUUGUGUUUUAUUCUUAAAGAAAAGAAAGAAAAAAAGAUUUUGGUUGUUAUUUUGUUUAGUGUCAUUCAUUUCAUUGUUGAACCUUUUCCUUAACGUAAAGGAGAGAGAGAUCUAGCCUUUAAUAAGUUGUGUUUUGAUUCUGCAAAGACCAAUUCCUGUCCUAACCAUUAAAAGGUAGCAUUAAAAUUGGUUGCUUUGCUUGAGAUAAUUGUUCUCUUAUAUGUGGUCAAGUCAACGCAGCAAGCGUGAACCAGUUGAUGAGCUGACCAUAAAUCACAUGGCUUGGGUUCUUUCACUUUAACUUGUGCUUUACUUCAGAUCUGCUUGGCUCCUUAAUAUAUAAGUUUCAUUUCAAUCAUAGAGAAGUGGUCCCUUAUGUGUGGUCAAGUCAACGUCAAGAAGUGUGAACCAAUUGAUGAAGUAAUCAUAAAUCACAUGGCUUGGGUUCUUCCACUUUAACUUGUGCUUCACUUCAGAUCUGCCUAACUCUUGAUCCUAAAUAUAUAAGUUUCAUUUUAAUCAUAGGUGGACUGGUGGUGUGAAUAAAGUGAGUAUUCAAUCAGUGAUCUUUUGGUGUUUGAUGGAAGACUGAACUACAAAUUUCAAUUUACUUAGUGGUUGGACUUUGAUUUGUGCCUUCAUUGUGGCUCUGUUUCUGAAGAUAUAAGUUUCAGUUCCACGCAUAGAUCUUUGCUGCUAUC